UUAAAAACUAACUAAGGGUGUACUCACACUAGGCAUUUUGAACCAUGCCCAAGCACGUUUGACCCCCCAAAGCCCGAUUCAUUUGACUAGUGUAAGCGCUCCGGUUCGUUUAGCGUGGUUCGGUUGUGAGUGCUAACCGCACCGGAGCACGGAACGGAUACUAUUUUGUGUGCGCUACCGUCAUCACUACGACCGCACACAUAUUCUAUUACUACUGCUACACUACACUUUUCAGUUAAUUUAAUUCAAUCAAGUAUAUUUAGGUUUAUAAUGGCUCUGGUUCUUACCUUAUUGAUGAACAGGAAAUGUAGUUUGCGAGUAAGCGUGCUCCGGCCCGUGUGAGUGCAGGCCAGUGGGGGGAGUGGGGAGGAGGCGAUAAUCGUGCUCGGGCUCGGUUCAAGGCAAGUGUGUCUAGUGUGAGUACACCCUAACUAACGCUAACACAUAAAUCACUAUAUUUACUGACUUGUUGUUUAUAUUGUAACAUGUAGUUGCAGAUGCACAUGAGGUUUGUCAGUAGUAUUUUAUUAAAAUAAAUGUUAAUCAUAC